UAAUACGUAGGGGGCGAGCGUUGUCCGGAUUUACUGGGCGUAAAGAGCGCGUAGGCGGUUGGGUAGGUUGGUUGUGAAAGGUGCGGGCUUAACCCGCAUAGGUCAACCAAAACCGUCCGACUCGGAGGACAGUAGAGGAAGGUGGAAUUCCGGGUGUAGUGGUGAAAUGCGUAGAGAUCCGGAGGAACACCGGCGGCGAAGGCGGCCUUCUGGGCUGGCCCUGACGCUGAGGCGCGAAAGCGUGGGGAGCGAACUGAAUUAGAUACUCAGGUAGUCCACGCCCUCAAUCAUGGACACUAGGUGUGGGGGGUAUCGACCCCUCCCGUGCCGGAGCUAACGCAGUAAGUGUCCCGCCUGGGGAGUACGGCCGCAAGGCUA
rnacentral:rRNA from 1 species